rnacentral:lncRNA from 1 species
AUUCUUUAAAGACUUAGUUAUUUUUAAAACCAUCGGUGACAACCGCUUGCUAAAAGGGGUCGCCUGCUCGUUGUCGUAGUCCGCUGCCACGGAUGAACUAGGGCACGCCUGCAUUAUUCACUCUAACCGUUGGCCAUACUGUGUCGCGAAGGUGAAGCUGCCACGCUUCUCUUCUCCGCCGCGCGCGAGUAACUCUGCCGCCAGAGCACACCGCCCGUCAUAAACUGCCGCGAGUGACUCUGCGCGCGAGUAACUUGCCAGACGUUACCCCGCUCGAGUAACUUGCCAGAGGUUACCCCGCGCGAGUAACUUGCCAGACGUUACCCCGCGCGAGUAACUCCGUCACGCGAGUACACCCGCUUGCCGGACACGCUACACGCAGCGCGAGUACACCCGCUUGUGGGAUACAAUACGCGCCGGGCGAGUACACCACUUGUCGGAUACACUCUUCACCGUCAGGACGCCAUUUAACGGACAACCCUUGUUGCGGGGGUAUGCUUAGUCCGUCAGGACGCUGUACUCAGUCCGCCAUGACCCUGUGUAUGGAGUUACCUCGGGCUUCACAAGUCAGUUUUUGAAAUUUGCCCCACCACUCUCAACAUUUCAUAUAAAUAACCCCUACAUAUCCUAUAAAUAGGACACCUUUAAUCUUGUAAUCUCUGACACAUUUUGUCAUGUAAAUUGGUGUCCGUUAUUUUAAUUACAAAAAUAUAUACAUAAGAAUUAUGG